UUUUGUUUUAUGGAUUUUUGUUGCAAUGUUUGAUUGCAAGGAAUUUGCCAAUGGAAAUUAUAAGUUCUUGUCAUUUAUCAAGUAACGUUGUUGCCGUUCUCUUUUCAAAUUCAAAGCAAUAUUGCUCUCAAUUUCAUUAUAAUACCACAAACAAACAAUAUCCCAUGUCUUGCAAAUGCAUACUGAAAUUAUUCAGAACUUCUUUGAACCUAAAUUGUUUCCUCUGCAGAUAUUUUCAAAUGACACUAAUAGGAAUAUAGCACAAUGGAAGUGUGCGAGUUGCAUAUUGUACUGGCUACAAUUCUUGGUCAAUAUGCGAAUUUUCCAAUGCCAAUGCGACAUUCAGCCAUAUGGAUAAUGCAAACACCAGCCCAAAGGUAAAUGGCUGUGCUGGAAACAUCAGGAGAACACUUGCAGAAACAGUACUCUCUGCUGGUCCUCAGCUUGUUCCUCUGUCUCUCACUAGUCCUUGUCUUCAGAAUCAAAAGAUCCACAUAGGGGAUGCAAAAGUUCAUGUACGCAGUCCAUCAGAAAAAGAUGAUCAGAUGAAUUGUAUUUCUUGAGAAUUUGAAAUACAGACAAUGGAUCAUUUCGUGCUUAGAAGUUUCCCUUUUUCUUUGUAUGUCACAGUGUAUUAUAGGAUUUUGAACUGGAACAUUGCAUAUAGUUUCACGUGUUACAAAAGCUAUA